AUUGAACGCUGGCGGCAGGCCUAACACAUGCAAGUCGAACGGUAACAGGAAGCAGCUUGCUGCUUUGCUGACGAGGGGCGGACGGGUGAGUAAUGUCUGGGAAACUGCCCGAUGGAGGGGGAUAACUACUGGAAACGGUAGCUAAUACCGCAUAACGUCGCAAGACCAAAGAGGGGGACCUUAGGGCCUCUUGCCAUCGGAUGUGCCCAGAUGGGAUUAGCUAGUAGGUGGGGUAACGGCUCACCUAGGCGACGAUCCCUAGCUGGUCUGAGAGGAUGACCAGCCACACUGGAACUGAGACACGGUCCAGACUCCUACGGGAGGCAGCAGUGGGGAAUAUUGCACAAUGGGCGCAAGCCUGAUGCAGCCAUGCCGCGUGUAUGAAGAAGGCCUUCGGGUUGUAAAGUACUUUCAGCGGGGAGGAAGGGAGUAAAGUUAAUACCUUUGCUCAUUGACGUUACCCGCAGAAGAAGCACCGGCUAACUCCGUG
rnacentral:rRNA from 1 species